rnacentral:rRNA from 1 species
GAUGAACGCUAGCUACAGGCUUAACACAUGCAAGUCGAGAGACCGGCGCCCGGGUGAGUCACACGUAUCCAACCUGCCCUUUACUCGGGGAUAGCCUUUCGAAAGAAAGAUUAAUACCCGAUAUAAAGGAUGGGGAUGCGUUGCAUUAGGUUGUUGGGGAGGUAACGGCUCACCAAGCCUUCGAUGGAUAGGGGUUCUGAGAGGAAGGGCCCCCACAUUGGAACGUGGAAACGGUCCAAACUGCGACGGGAGGCAGCAGUGAUGAAUAGUCGUCAAUGGGCGCUAGCCUGAACCAGCCAAGUAGCGUGAAGGAUGAAGGCCUAGGGGUCGUAACCUUCUUUUAGAUAAGAAUAUGUAUUAUAUGAAUAAGGAUCGGCUAACUCCGUGCCAGCAGCCGCGGUAAUAC